UCCGUAGCAACGCCACGGCAGUCUCCGGUGACACAAGUAACACCGGACAAGGGUUGCGCUCGUUGCGGGACUUAACCCAACAUCUCACGACACGAGCUUACGACAGCCAUGCAGCACCGGUGCAGCUCCCUCGAAGGCGGCCGGAUUUCUCCGGCCUGCAGCUGCAUGUCCAACCUAGGUAAGGUUCUUCGCGUAACAUCGAAUUAAGCAACACGCUCCGCUGCUUGUGCGGGCCCCCGUCAAUUCCUUUGAGUUUUAGUCUUGCGACCGUACUCCCCAGGCGGGGCACUUAAUGCGUUAGCGACGGCGCGGAUCUCGUUGGUUGAGACCCACACCUAGUGCCCAACGUUUACGGCGUGGACUAC
rnacentral:misc_RNA from 1 species